UUUCCGUAGGUGAACCUGCGGAAGGAUCAUUAAAGAGUAAUGGUCCUCUAGGCCCGACCUCCCAACCCUUUGUUUACCAAACCAAUGUUGCUUCGGCGGGCCCGUCUUAGGACCGCCGGAGGACCGUCGAAACGUCCUCUGGCCCGCGCGCGUCGAUGGCCCUUAUUAUUAAACUCUGAACCAAACGUGUCCUGUCUGAGUGAUUAUUAUCAAAAUUAAAGCAAAAACUUUCAACAACGGAUCUCUUGGUUCUG
rnacentral:misc_RNA from 1 species